CUGUCCUCUAAUGAAUGACUGUCCUCUAAUGAAUGACUGUCCUCUAAUGCAGGACUGUCCUCUAAUGCAGGACUGUCCUCUAAUGACCGACUGUCCUCUAAUGACCGACUGUCCUCUAAUGACCGACUGUCCUCUAAUGACCGACUGUCCUCUAAUGACCGACUGUCCUCUAAUGACCGACUGUCCUCUAAUGACCGACUGUCCUCUAAUGACCGACUGUCCUCUAAUGACCGACUGUCCUCUAAUGACCGUCUGUCCUCUAAUGACCGACUGUCCUCUAAUGACCGACUGUCCUCUAAUGACCGACUGUCCUCUAAUGACCGACUGUCCUCUAAUGACCGUCUGUCCUCUAAUGACCAUCUGUCCUCUAAUGACCGACUGUCCUCUAAUGACCGACUGUCCUCUAAUGACCGACUGUCCUCUAAUGACCGACUGUCCUCUAAUGACCGACUGUCCUCUAAUGACCGACUGUCCUCUAAUGACCGACUGUCCUCUAAUGACUGACUGUGUUCUAAUGACUGACUGUCGUCUAAUGACUGACUGCCCUCUAAUGACUGAGACCUCUAUGUAUUUUAAAUAGUUAAACUAGGUCAGCCGUCCAUCUGCCAUUUAAACUAGGUCAGCCGUCCAUCUGCCAUUUAAACUAGGUCAGCCGUCCAUCUGCCAUUUAAACUAGGUCAGCCGUCCAUCUGCCAUUUAAACUAGGUCAGCCGUCCAUCUGCCAUUUAAACUAGGUCAGCCGUCCAUCUGCCAUUUAAACUAGGUCAGCCGUCCAUCUGCCAUAGGUCAAUGCAAAAGGCUGAUUGAGGACCCUUAUACUGAAGAAUGUGUUGGUUUUCUAUGAUUGUAUAUGGAUGUGAAAAUUGAUGUGUAUAUCGGUCUAUAUUGAUGUGUAUGGUGUACAUUGAUGUGCAUAGAGAUGUGUAUAGUGUAUAUUGAUGCGUAUAUUGAUGUGUAUGGUGUAUAUUGAUGUGUAUAUUGAUGUGUAUAGAGUAAAUUGAUGUGUAUAGUGUAUAUUGAUGUGUAUAUUGAUGUGUAUAGUGUAUAUUGAUGUGUAUAGAGUAAAUUGAUGUGUAUAGUGUAUAUUGAUGUGUAUAUUGAUGUGUAUAGUGUAUAUUGAUGUGUAUAGAGUACAUUGAUGUGUAUAGUGUAUAUUGAUGUGUAUAUUGAUUUGUAUGGUGUAUAGAGAUGUGUAUAGUGUAUAUUGAUGUGUAUAGAGAUGUGUAUAGUGUAUAUUGCUGUGUAUAGAGUACAUUGAUGUGUAUAGUGUAUAUUGUGCUGUGUGCCAGUAGUUUAAACAGACUUCUGGUGGCAUGUCUUGUGGGGUAUGUAUGGGUGUCUGAGCUGUGUGCCGGUAGUUUAGACUGACAGUUCAGUGCAUUCAACAUGUCAACCCCUCGAAGUCAAUCUCUCCUCCACUUUCAGCCAGGAGACACUGACAUGCAUAUUAUUAAUAUUAGCUCUGUGUUCAUCCAAGGGCCAGCCGUGCAGCCCUGUUCUGAGCCAAUUACAAUUUUCCUAUGUUCUUUUUGUGGCACCUGACCACAUGACUGAACAUUAGUCAAGGUGCGACAAAACUAGGGCCUGUAGGACCUGCCUUGUUGAUAGUGUUGAUAGUGUUAAGAAGGCAGAGCAUCGCUUUAUUAUAGACAGAUUUCUCCCUCAUCUUAGCUACUACUGCAUCAAUAUGUUUUGACCAUGACAGAUUACAAUCUAGGGUUACUCCAAGCAGUUUAGUCUCCUCAACUUGCUCAAUUUUCACAUUGUUUAUUACAAGAUUUAGUUGAGAUUUAGGAUUUAGUGAGUGUUAUGUUCCAAACACAAUGCUUCAGGUUUGAUAAAUAUUUAGGGCUAACGGAUACCUUGCCACUCUGAAACUAACUGCAACUCUUUGUUGAGUGUUGCAGUCAUUUCAGUCGCUGUAGUAGCUGACGUGUAUAGUGUUGAGUCGUCAGCAAAAAUAGAAACUCUGGCUUUACUCAAAGUCAGUAGCAUGUCAUUCGUAAAAUUUUAAAAAGCAAGGGGCCUAAACAGCUACCCUGGGGAAUUCCUGAUUCUAACUGGAUUAUAUACACGAGAGGCUUGCAUUAAAGAACACCCUCUGUGUUCUGUUAGACAAGUAACUCUUUAUCCACAUUAUAACAGGGGGUGUAAAGCCAUACGUUUUCCAGAAGCAGACUAUGAUCAAUAACAUCAAAAACUGCACUGAAGUCUAACAAGACAGCCCCCACAAUCAUCAUCAAUUUCUCUCAGCCAAUCAUCAGUCAUCUGUGUAAGUGCUGUGCUUGUUGAGUAUCCUGCCCUAUAAGCAAGCUGAAAGUCUAUUGUCAAUUUGUUUACUGUAAAAUAGCAUUGUAUCUGCUCAAACACAAUUUUUUCCAGAAAUUGUCAGACCCCAGUGGCUUGUCAUUGUUGAUAAUUGUUUCACCUCUUCCACACUGACUUUACAGAAUUCAAAAGUACAAUUCUUGUCUUUCAUAACUUGGUCUGAUAUACUUGGAUGUGUAGUGUCAGUGAUUGUUGCUGGCAUGUCAUCCCUAAAUUUAUUUUGCCAAUGAAACGGUCAUUAAAGUAGUUUGCAAUAUCAGUGGACUUUGUGAUGAAUAAGCCAUCUGAUUCAAUAAAUGAAGGAGCCGAGUUGGCUUUUUUUCCCCAAAAUUUAAUUUAAGGUUGAAGGUGCUCCAAAGCUUUUUACUGUCAUUCUUUAUAUAAUUUAUCUUUGUUUCAUAGUGUAGUUUAUUUUUAUUUAGUUUAGUCACAUGACUUCUUAAUUUGCAGUACGUUUGCAAUUCAGUUGGGCUGCCAGACUUAAUUGCCAUACCUUUUUCCUUGAUAUUGAUGUGAAGUGUAUAUUGAUGUGUACUAAUGUGUAUAUUGCUGUGUAUAAUGUAUAUGGAUGUGUAGUGUAUUUUGAUGUUUAUAAACUGGGUGGUUUGAGCAGUGAAUGCUGAUUGGCUGAAAGCCGUGGUAUAGCAGACCGUAUACCAUGGCUAUGACAAAACAUUUAUUUUUACUGCUCUAAUUACGUUGGUAAACAGUUUAUAACAGCAAUAAGGCACCUCUGGGGUUUAUGAUAUAUGACAAAUAUACCACGGCUAAGGGCUGUGUCCAGGCACUCAGCAUUGCGUCGUGCAUGCCGUGGUAUAUUGGCCAUUAGUAUAUCAAUGUGAAUAUUGAUGUGUAUAGAGUAUACUGAUGUGUAUAGAGU